AUACUUACCUGGUGCCGGGGCCUCGUUGAUCACCGAGGACGCACCCCCAAGGCGAGGCGCUGGUAUUGCAGUGCGGUCGCGUUAACCCCUUCGGCUACCCCAAACUGGGGCAGAUGGGGCCUGCAAAUUUCUUAAAUCCGGUUCAACGCAAGAGAGGGCGCCACCGC
rnacentral:snRNA from 1 species